AGAGUGAACGCUGGCGGCAGGCCUAAUACAUGCAAGUCGAACGGCAGCACAGCAGAGUUUGCUCUGUGGGUGGCGAGUGGCGGACGGGUGAGGAAUACAUGGGAAUCUGCCCAGUCGUGGGGGAUAACGUAGGGAAACUUACGCUAAUACCGCAUGCGCCCUUCGGGGAAAGCCGGGACCUUCGGCCUGGCGCGAUUGGAUGAGCCCAUGUCGGAUUAGCUAGGUUGGGGGGUAAAGCCCGACAAGGCGACGAGUCCGUAGCUGGUCUGAGAGGAUGAUCAGCCACACUGGAACUGAGACACGGUCAGACUACCGUACGGGAGGCAG
rnacentral:rRNA from 1 species